UACGUAGGGUGCAAGCGUUGUCCGGAAUUAUUGGGCGUAAAGAGCUCGUAGGCGGUUGAGUAAGUCGGGUGUGAAAACUCUGGGCUUAACCCAGAGCCGCCACUCGAUACUGCUCUGACUUGAGUACGGUAGGGGAGCAGGGAAUUCCUAGUGUAGCGGUGAAAUGCGCAGAUAUUAGGAGGAACACCGGUGGCGAAGGCGCUGCUCUGGGCCGAAACUGACGCUGAGGAGCGAAAGCGUGGGUAGCAAACAGG
rnacentral:rRNA from 1 species